AAAGCUCAAAUUUAAAAUCUGGCGUCUUCCGGCGUCCGAGUUGUAAUCUGGAGAAGCGUUUUCCGUGCUGGACCGUGUACAAGUCUCUUGGAAUAGAGCGUCAUAGAGGGUGAGAAUCCCGUCUUUGACACGGACUACCAGUGCUUUGUGAUACGCUCUCGAAGAGUCGCGUUGUUUGGGAAUGCAGCGCAAAAUGGGUGGUAGAUUCCAUCUAAAGCUAAAUAUUGGCGAGAGACCGAUAGCGAA
rnacentral:rRNA from 1 species